AGCGAACGCUGGCGGCAGGCCUAACACAUGCAAGUCGAACGAACCUUUCGGGUUUAGUUGCGGACGCGUGAGUGACCCGUGGGAUCGUGCCUUUAGGUCUGGAAUAACUCAGGGAAUCUUGUGCUAAUACCGACUGUGCCCCUCGCGGGGAAGAUAUAUCGGCUUUAGAGCGGCCCGCGUCUGUUUAGCAUGUUGUUUGAGGUUAUGGCUCACCAUGGCUACGAUCAGUAGAUGGUCUGAGAGAAUGUUCAGCAACAUUGGGUCUGAGACGCGGCGCAAACUCCUACGGGAGGCAGCAGUGGGGGAUCAAGCGUAAGGGGCGGAGGCCGGACGGAGCCAUGCCGCGUGAAUGAUGAAGGUGUGAGGAUUGUAAAAUUCUUUCAACGGGGACGAUAAUGACGGUACCCGGAGAAAAAGCACCGGCUAACUUCGUG
rnacentral:rRNA from 1 species